rnacentral:rRNA from 1 species
ACGUAGGCCCCUGGCUCAGAAUCAACGCUGGCGGCGUGCCUAACACAUGCAAGUCGAACGCGAAAGGGGCUUCGGCCCUGUGUGAGUGGCAAACGGGUGAGUAACACGUGGGUGACCUGCCUUCGAGUGGGGGAUAACGUUUCGAAAGGAACGCUAAUACCGCAUGACAUCCUGCCUUUGGACAGGUGGUGAUCAAAGCUGGGGAUUCUCGGAACCUGGCGCUUGAAGAGGGGCCCGCGCCCGAUUAGCUAGUUGGUGGGGUAAUGGCCUACCAAGGCGACGAUCGGUAGCCGGCCUGAGAGGGCGGACGGCCACACUGGGACUGAGACACGACCCAGACUCCUACGGGAGGCAGCAGUGGGGAAUUGUUCGCAAUGGACGAAAGUCUGACGAUGCAACGCCGCGUGGAGGAUGAAGGUCUUCGGAUUGUAAACUCCUGUUGACCGGGAAGAAUUUCUCCGGGGCUAACACCCCUGGAGGUUGACGGUACCGGUUGAGGAAGCCCCGGCUAACUGGUGCCAGCAGCCGCGGUAAUACAGAGGGGGCAAGCGCUGUUCGGAAUUACUGGGCGUAAAGGGCGCGUAGGCGGCCUCUUCAGUCGGACGUGAAAUCCCUCGGCUUACCGGGGAACUGCAUCCGAUACUGGGAGGCUGGAGUUCGGGAGAGGGAUGUGGAAUUCCAGGUGUAGCGGUGAAAUGCGUAGAUAUCUGGAGGAACACCGGUGGCGAAGGCGGCAUCCUGGACCGACACUGACGCUGAGGCGCGAAAGCCAGGGGAGCAAACGGGAUUAGAUACCCCGGUAGUCCUGGCCCUAGACGAUGAAUAGAUGGUGUGGCGGGUAUCGAUCCCUGCCGUGCCGAAGCUAACGCAUUAAGCAUUUUGCCUGGGGAGUACGGUCGCAAGGCUGAAACUCAAGGAACUGACGGGGGCCCGCACAAGCGGUGGAGCAUGUGGUUUAAUUCGACGCAACGCGAAGAACCUUACCCAGGCUUGAACUGCAGGUGACCAUCUACGAAAGUAGACUCCCGCAAGGGCACCUGUAGAAGUGCUGCAUGGCUUUCGUCAGCUCGUGUCGUAAAUGUUGGGUUAAGUCCCAUAUAACGAGCGCAACCCUUGUUUGCUGUUGCCAUCAGGUUAUGCUGGGCACUCUAUUGAGACUGCCGGUGACAAACCUUAAGGAAGGUGGGGAUGACGUCAAGUCAGCAUGGCCUUCACCAUGUCUGGGGCUACACACGUGCUACAAUGGCCGGUACAAACCGUUUACAGAUCCUGCGAAGGGGAGCUAAUCGGAGAAAGCCGGUCUCAGUUCGGAUUGUAGGCUGCAACCCCGCCUGCAUGAAGUUGGAAUCGCUAGUAAUCGCGGAUCAGCAAUAUCGCGGUGAAUACGUUCUUUCGGGCCUUGUACACACCGCCCGUUACAUCACGAACCUGGCUGUACUAGAAAUCGCCGGGCUAUUAUACCAGGAUUAUAU